CCUACGGGAGGCAGCAGUGAGGAAUAUUGGUCAAUGGACGAGAGUCUGAACCAACCAAGUAGCGUGAAGGAUGACUGCCCUAUGGGUUGUAAACUUCUUUUAUAUGGGAAUAAAAUGUUCCACGUGUGGGAUUUUGUAUGUACCAUAUGAAUAAGGAUCGGCUAACUCCGUGCCAGCAGCCGCGGUAAUGCGGAGGAUCCGAGCGUUAUGCGGAUUUAUUGGGUUUAAAGGGAGCGUAGGUGGAUUGUUAAGUCAGUUGUGAAAGUUUGCGGCUCAACCGUAAAAUUGCAGUUGAAACUGGCAGGCUUGAGUACAGUAGAGGUGGGCGGAAUUCGUGGUGUAGCGGUGAAAUGCUUAGAUAUCACGAAGAACUCCGAUUGCGAAGGCAGCUCACUGGACUGCAACUGACACUGAGGCUCGAAAGUGUGGGUAUCAAACAGGAUUAGAUACCCCUGUAGUC
rnacentral:rRNA from 1 species